rnacentral:rRNA from 1 species
UGGGGAAUAUUGCACAAUGGGCGCAAGCCUGAUGCAGCCAUGCCGCGUGUAUGAAGAAGGCCUUCGGGUUGUAAAGCACUUUCAGCGGGGAGGAAGGCGGUGAGGUUAAUAACCUCAUCGACUGACGCUACCCGCAGAAGAAGCACCGGCUAACUCCGUGCCAGCAGCCGCGGUAAUACGGAGGGUGCAAGCGUUAAUCGGACUUACUGGGCGUAAAGCGCACGCAGGCGGUCUGUCAAGUCGGAUGUGAAAUCCCCGGGCUCAACCUGGGAACUGCAUUCGAAACUGGCAGGCUAGAGUCUUGUAGAGGGGGGUAGAAUUCCAGGUGUAGCGGUGAAAUGCGUAGAGAUCUGGAGGAAUACCGGUGGCGAAGGCGGCCCCCUGGACGAAGACUGACGCUCAGGUGCGAAAGCGUGGGGAGCAAACAGG